AAUAGAUACCCAGGUAGUCCACGCCGUAAACGGUGGGCACUAGGUGUGGGCGACAUUCCACGUCGUCCGUGCCGCAGCUAACGCAUUAAGUGCCCCGCCUGGGGAGUACGGCCGCAAGGCUAAAACUCAAAGGAAUUGACGGGGGCCCGCACAAGCGGCGGAGCAUGUGGCUUAAUUCGACGCAACGCGAAGAACCUUACCAAGGCUUGACAUACACCGGAAACGUCCAGAGAUGGGCGCCCCCUUGUGGUCGGUGUACAGGUGGUGCAUGGCUAUCGUCAGCUCGUGUCGUGAGAUGUUGGGUUAAGUCCCGCAACGAGCGCAACCCUUGUCCCGUGUUGCCAGCAGGCCCCUGUGGUGCUGGGGACUCACGGGAGACCGCCGGGGUCAACUCGGAGAAGGUGGGGACGACGUCAAGUCAUCAUGCCCCUUAUGUCUUGGGCUGCACGCGUGCUACAAUGGCCGGUACAAUGAGCUGCGAUACCGCGAGGUGGAGCGAAUCUCAAAAAGCCGGUCUCAGUUCGGAUUGGGGUCUGC
rnacentral:rRNA from 1 species